rnacentral:rRNA from 1 species
GUGGCGAACGGGUGAGUAACACGUGGGUAACCUGCCCAUCAGAAGGGGAUAACACUUGGAAACAGGUGCUAAUACCGUAUAACACUAUUUUCCGCAUGGAAGAAAGUUGAAAGGCGCUUUUGCGUCACUGAUGGAUGGACCCGCGGUGCAUUAGCUAGUUGGUGAGGUAACGGCUCACCAAGGCAACGAUGCAUAGCCGACCUGAGAGGGUGAUCGGCCACACUGGGACUGAGACACGGCCCAGACUCCUACGGGAGGCAGCAGUAGGGAAUCUUCGGCAAUGGACGAAAGUCUGACCGAGCAACGCCGCGUGAGUGAAGAAGGUUUUCGGAUCGUAAAACUCUGUUGUUAGAGAAGAACAAGGAUGAGAGUAAAAUGUUCAUCCCUUGACGGUAUCUAACCAGAAAGCCACGGCUAACUACGUGCCAGCAGCCGCGGUAAUACGUAGGUGGCAAGCGUUGUCCGGAUUUAUUGGGCGUAAAGCGAGCGCAGGCGGUUUCUUAAGUCUGAUGUGAAAGCCCCCGGCUCAACCGGGGAGGGUCAUUGGAAACUGGGAGACUUGAGUGCAGAAGAGGAGAGUGGAAUUCCAUGUGUAGCGGUGAAAUGCGUAGAUAUAUGGAGGAACACCAGUGGCGAAGGCGGCUCUCUGGUCUGUAACUGACGCUGAGGCUCGAAAGCGUGGGGAGCGAACAGGAUUAGAUACCCUGGUAGUCCACGCCGUAAACGAUGAGUGCUAAGUGUUGGAGGGUUUCCGCCCUUCAGUGCUGCAGCAAACGCAUUAAGCACUCCGCCU